CAGCCGCCGCGGUAAUACAGAGGGUGCAAGCGUUAAUCGGAUUUACUGGGCGUAAAGGGCGCGUAGGUGGUCAUUUAAGUGAGAUGUGAAAGCCCCGGGCUUAACCUGGGAACUGCAUCUUAUACUGGGUAACUGGAGUGCAGUAGAGGGUAGUGGAAUUUCCGGUGUAGCGGUGAAAUGCGUAGAUAUCGGAAGGAACACCAGUGGCGAAGGCGGCUACCUGGACUGAGACUGACACUGAGGCGCGAGAGCGUGGGGAGCAAACAGGAUUAGAUACCCCCGUAGUCCCUGUCUCUUAUAC
rnacentral:rRNA from 1 species